rnacentral:rRNA from 1 species
UACGUAGGGUGCGAGCGUUAAUCGGAAUUACUGGGCGUAAAGCGUGCGCAGGCGGUUUUGUAAGCCAGGUGUGAAAUCCCCGGGCUCAACCUGGGAAUGGCAUUUGGGACUGCAAGGCUGGAGUGCGGCAGAGGAGACUGGAAUUCCUGGUGUAGCAGUGAAAUGCGUAGAUAUCAGGAGGAACACCGGUGGUGUAAACGGCUUUCUGGACCAUAACUGACGCUGAGGCACGAAAGCGUGGGUAGCAAACAGG